rnacentral:rRNA from 1 species
AACGUAGGGCCCGAGCGUUGUCCGGAAUCACUGGGUGUAAAGGGUGCGUAGGCGGGCGUGCGCGUCUGGGGUGAAAGGCUCCGGCUCAACCGGAGACAUGCCCUGGGUACGGCACGUCUUGGGUGCGGGAGAGGGCGAUGGAAUUCCUGGUGUAGCGGUGAAAUGCGUAGAUAUCAGGAGGAACACCAGUGGCGAAGGCGGUCGCCUGGCCCGCAACCGACGCUGAGGCACGAAAGCGUGGGGAGCAAACCGG